CAUUCGAACAUAGAGGUAUGUAUAACCAAGCCAGUCUACGCCAUCUUCGAUACUACGAACAGUUCCUAACGAUACUUCGGCAUUUAAACAAUCAGCUAGACGGCGCAUAAAUUGAGACUCAAUUGGAAGCUGCUGAUUCAUUAGUGAUAGAUAAUACUGUAACUCAGAGUGGGCGGUAAUGAUAAUUCCUUCACCAUAUGUGUCGAAUUGUGGGCGACCAGCUCUGCCAAGCAUUUGCAAAACAUCCUGAGGAGAGAGUUCUGUCCAGAUACCCUUUUCAGGAGAAUAAACUUGGGUCCCUUUGAUGAUCACUGUGUGCGCUGGUAAGUUUACGCCCCAAGCCAGAG